UACGGGGGGGGCAAGCGUUGUUCGGAAUUACUGGGCGUAAAGGGCUCGUAGGCGGCCAACUAAGUCGGAUGUGAAAUCCCCAGGCUUAACUUGGGAACUGCAUCCGAUACUGGAUGGCUUGAAUCCGGGAGAGGGAUGCGGAAUUCCAGGUGUAGCGGUGAAAUGCGUAGAUAUCUGGAGGAACACCGGUGGCGAAGGCGGCAUCCUGGACCGGCAUUGACGCUGAUGAGCGAAAGCCAGGAGAGCAAACGGG
rnacentral:rRNA from 1 species